CCUACGGGUGGCAGCAGUGAGGAAUAUUGGUCAAUGGACGAGAGUCUGAACCAGCCAAGUAGCGUGAAGGAUGACGGCCCUAUGGGUGGUAAAAUUCGUGUAUAGGGGAAUAAAAUGUGCCACGAGUGGGAGUUUGUAUGAACCAUAUGAAUAAGGAUCGGCUAACUCCGUGCCAGCAGCCGCGGUAAUACGGAGGAUCCGAGCGGUCUCCGGAUUGAGUGGGUGGAAAGGGAGCGUAGGUGGAUUGUUAAGGCAGUUUUGAACGUUUGCGGCUCAACCGUAAAAUUGCAGUUGAAACUGGCAGUCUUGCGUACAGUAGAGGUGGGCGGACUUCGUGUUGUAGCGGUGCACUUCU
rnacentral:rRNA from 1 species